UGGCGCACGGGUGAGUAACGCGUGGAUAAUCUACCCGAUACUCUGGGAUAACAUCUCGAAAGGGGUGCUAAUACCGGAUAAGCCCACGGGCGCUGCGGCGCGUGCGGGAAAAGGUGGGGACCUUUGGGCCUGCCGAUAUCGGAUGAGUCCGCGUCCCAUUAGCUAGUUGGCGGGGUAAAGGCCCACCAAGGCGACGAUGGGUAGCUGGUCUGAGAGGAUGAUCAGCCACACUGGAACUGAGACACGGUCCAGACUCCUACGGGAGGCAGCAGUGGGGAAUUUUGCGCAAUGGGGGAAACCCUGACGCAGCAACGCCGCGUGAGUGAUGAAGGCCCUUGGGUCGUAAAGCUCUGUCAGAGGGAAAGAAGUGUGUACGGUUAACAGCCGUGCAUUUGACGGUACCCUCAAAGGAAGCACCGGCUAACUCCGUGCCAGCAGCCGCGGUAAUACGGAGGGUGCAAGCGUUGUUCGGAUUUAUUGGGCGUAAAGGGCGUGUAGGCGGUUUGUUAAGUCUGAUGUGAAAGCCCUGGGCUCAACCCGGGAAGUGCAUUGGAAACUGGCAGACUUGAGUACGGGAGAGGGCAGUGGAAUUCCUAGUGUAGGAGUGAAAUCCGUAGAUAUUAGGAGGAACACCGGUGGCGAAGGCGGCUGCCUGGACCGAUACUGACGCUGAGACGCGAAAGCGUG
rnacentral:rRNA from 1 species